CUAGUGGGGUCUAGUGUAUGUGAAUAUCUCCUGUGUUUGUAUUGUCAACUGUAUGUAUUGGUUGUGUUUUAUGUAUUGAAACCCCCAAGCACUCCCUCCUCUGUCUCUGAAAUUGUUACAUUUGUGUGGCGGGAAGGAGCCUUGUUAUAUAAACUCGGAGCGGGAGUAUUGGCGCGCUCUGAUUCCCAGCUGCGUUAGGGUGAGGUACUGUACUGCGGGACUGUGCUGCGGUAUGAGUGUACUACACGGAGGGCCUUGCAGUGCUGAAUACAACCUCUGUACUGUUACAUUGUUUUCUUAAUAAACGGUUGGUUUCAGUUAAACUGGCUGAGUCAGUGCCUUAUUUUCUGCCGCCGGAUAAAGCAAGCCUUUGGUCUCCAUCCACCCUUCAACGAUCUGCGAGACUCGCGCAGCGACCUGCCCGGGGUAAGCCAGUGAGUAAGCCGAACGAGAUGGACGGGCAGGAGACCAUUUUGCCAUUUGAAUUCUACUGUCCCAAGAUGAUGCUUACCAGACAUUCUGGCUUGGAAGCCUAAUAAAUGGUUGCGGUGAGAUGGAGCCUAACCCAGCAGACACAGGGCACAAGGCAGGACUACACCCUGGACAGGACGCCAGUCCAUUGCAGGCCACCUCACUCACUCGGCAAUUUAAAGUGACCAAUCAACCUGAACAGCAUGGCUUUAAACUGUGAGAGAAAACACACACAAACAUGGGGAGAACAUGCAAACUCCACACAGACCCCCUAGACAAGAUUUGAACCUAGGACCCUGGCACUGUGAGGCAGCAGCACUAACCACCGUGCCGCCCCGUACAGAAAACCCUCCAGCAGAAUACAAGCAAAAUUAAAAACAGAAGUGUUCCCUGACUGGGAAUCAAUCGCUAACCACUACGCCACCGUGCCGCCCUGUUAGUAUUAAUAUUUUAAUAUUUGAUAAACCCUGCAAGUCAUCUUGGAUAAAAGCAUCUGACAAAUACAUGUAUUGCUGCUAUGAUAGAAGAAUUGCAGGAAGGAUGGAUGCCAGGAUUUCAUCUGAAGUCAAACAAAUUGGUGUCUGUCACAACAUUUCACCUUGCACUGUUGCUGAUAGCUUGUGAUAUUUCAACUUGCCAAAACUUGUGUGGGUUUCUGGGUCAUGGAGCAAACCGUGGAUGUUCCAAAUGCUGGAAAGUUUUUCUGGACAGACUGGUAAGAAAGACUACAGUGGUUUUAAUAAAGAUGAAUGGCCUGAAAGGACACAGCACUCACAUGAAGUGGGUUGAAGAAAUAUUGAAUGCAACAAUUGUGGCAGAUGAAGAAUGUUUGGAAAGACAGUAUGGUGUGAGAUAUUAAGCAUUGUUAGAACUUCCUUAUAUAGACAUAGUAAAAAUGCAUAUAGUUGACCCAAUGCACAAUUUAUUCCUUGGAACAGCCAAACGUGUCAUGGACAUUUGAAACUGCAGAUCAAUGGAAAAAUUGGACGAUAUUGUUUUAAAUACCUUGCUUCAAAAGAGUGCUUCCAAAUGUGCAUUUGAAUGUUUGGAGAUUGUUUAACAAAUAUUAUCCCCUCCCACUAACUCAACACGACACGACCAUCAUGACAGUAAAAAUAGACCUAAUGAAGCGUUCUUACCUUUUAUAUAAGUUAGUGAUCAGUAUCAAAUAUCAGGACUUUCUUCCUAUGCAUCGGGACGCAUUUGCUAGGAAAUCGGGAUUGUCCCGACCAUAUAGGGACUGUUGGCACGUAUGACAAAUACGUAAUUUAAAAAUGUUACAUAUUUAACAUUAUUUUGCAUUUCAGGAGGUGUUCUUGUUUUGGGAAGCACUACUGUAUGGACAGCAGGUAUACGAGCGAUUUUCCAAAUGUUAAAGUUUCAGUCAUGGAAAAAAUUGAGCUCCCUGCUGCGAUGGUUCACAUCAAUCACAUGAUGUACUUGGAAAGUGUUGCUUAUACAGUAUUAUUAGUAUUAUGUGCUUUGUUUCAUUUAUUUUUACAUACAGUACUUUGUAUAAUUAGGACAGAAAACGAACAGGAGACUGGUUCUCAUCAUGCAUGUGUUUCAAUUACAAGUUUGGGAAGAAACAGUACAUUAAUUGGUUAAAAACUAAAGAGUUAACGUCUUUGCUAAACCGUGGUAAAUACGUGUAGUUCAAUACCAGCCAAGAUAGCUAUUGUAAGAGAGAGAGAUCAUACAGUAUAUGUAGGCUACUGUAGAGCAGCAUGAUUUUAAAAAUGGUACAUUCCUGUAGUGCAACAACCAUGUAAGUCAUAACGAGCAAUCAUAUCUACCAUGGCAUACGUUUUUCAUUUCUGUAUUUGUCCUAUCAAGAGGAUUUGACAGGGUCCUUUUUUAACAUAGUACAAAUCUUAUCCCUUAGUAAUACUAUAAUGAUUUCCAUUACACGAGAGUAGAUGUUAAAACUUCAUGUUGAUUUGAACUCGGCUCUCGCCAAGAUAAGCACCAACUAAGACAUAGCUUUACAGUAAACUAAUGUGAUCCAUGUGUGUCACCAUCCAUUUGCGCUUCCUUCCAUAUAAUGAUGUAGAUAUCCUUCUGUCUGGUGUUGAUGGCUGAAGUGUAAUGCUGGCACCAGGGAUCAGCUUAUUUGCCUCCCUGGCGCAUCAGCAAACACAACAGCCGCGAUGCUGGCUCCAGGGAUCAACCCCAGUGCGGUCUCCCCAGCACAUCAGCAUGACAACCAUCAGGAUUGAGCUAAGUAGGGUACAUCUCUGGGGUCUUCAAGUGGGCACCUUCCAUCCUCUGUUUCAUCAACUAGCCCACGACACCUCAAGAGGGCUCGACGGUGAUUCUGGUGUCCCAGCAUCACCCCCCUCCGUCCCCCACUCAACUCAGCCCAGUUUACUUACCCGUACAUCAGCGUUUCUUUCUUUCUAUUGUGCUUGAGAUCCCCAGCCAGAAUCUUUCCGUCUCAACCACAGCCAGUUGCUGCUCCUCUCUGCUGCUUCAGAUAAGUUCUUCACUGUGCGACGCAACUCUUGGCCACUGAAUCCGACGUCUCUGAGAAACCGGGUUGUAGAGUGUGCCACAAAUCCUUGAUAACCCACUUCCACUGGGUAAACCCGGACUCUCCAUCCUCGCUGUUCCGCUUCAGUGGCUAGUUGAGCAUACCGCAGUUUCUUCCUGUCAUACGCCUCAUCUACAGCAUCCUCCCAUGGCACUGUUAACUCUACCAGGUGAACAAGGCGUGCUGAUCCAGACCACAAGACAAUAUCUGGUCAAAGGUUAGUGGUGGCAAACUCAGGUAGAAGAAUAAGUCGUUGACCAACAUCUGGCAGCAUUUUCCAGUCUCUAGCAGCUUCCAGUUGUCCUGAGCGAGGAUUGGUUUUAACACCUUUUCUUGGUGGUUGCUCUCCUGGGCGGAGGAAUAUUGUCUUUUGUGUGUAAUGUUUUGAUGGAACAGGUGUCAACUUAUUGGUCAUGUUACACUUGUCUUCCAAUGCUAAGGCCAAACAUCGCAGCACCUGGUCAUGGCGCCAAGUAAACCGCCGUUGGCUAAGAGCCACCUUACAUCGUGUCAAAAUGUGCCUUAAUGUUGCAGGUGAUGAACACAAAGGACAUGAGGGAUCCUCUCCUACCUAGAGGUUUAGGUUCUGUGGUGAUGGGAGAACAUCAUAUGUUGACCUGAUGAGGAAACUGAUCUUGCUCUGUUCUGUUGACCAUAGGUCUUGCCAGCCAAUCUUGCAUUGUUCCACACUCUCCCAUCUCAUCCAUUCUCCCUGCUUAUCCUGGGAAAUGGCCUUUAUACAACUUACCCUCUCCUCCUGCUUUUGCACCUCGUUUACUACCAUCUUCCUCCAUUGAGCUGAGGCUGCCUUGUGCCGUGUAGGAGGAGCUGAACUGAGACCAAGACCCCCUCUUCCAUGCUGAAUUUGCCCCAUGAUAUCACCAAUUCGAAGGGCAGCCUUUGCAUCCUCCACAGCUUUCUUUGCCACCCACUUUCUUCCAGUUUUCAGCACAGGUGCUGCCUCCCUUACGCAUUUGUCACGUGACUCUACUAAUGUCAUUUCCAGUCUGACCUUGGCGCACUUAAACUCCUCGGUUAGAGUGGAUGCUGGUAGCUGCAGUAUUCCUUUACCAUAAAGUCCCACUUUACCGAGGCAGCGUGGAACUCCCAACCAUUUCCUGAUGUAUGAACUGAUUAAGGCUUCCAGCUUCUCUACUGUUGUCAAAGAAAUCUCGUACACAGUCAGUGGCCACAGCAACCUCGGCAGUAGACCAAACUGAAAGCACCAGAGUUUUAGUUUGGUAAAGCGCUGCUGUCUAUGCUCUUCAACCCUUCCACUGCUUGUUGUCUAACUUCUCCCACAUGAACUGUGUCCUUUAGAUCCCCUUCGUACCAUCUCCCAAGACUCUUCACUGGCUCCUCAGACACUGUUGGUAUUGCCUCACCGUUAAUGAAGAACGUCUACUACUUUACCUUUAAUUAUAGAGAUGCUCCUUCAUUUAGUGGGCUUGAAUUGCAUUCGUGCCCAUUCAAUGUUAUUGGUAAAUUUUCCCAAUAACCGAUUAGUGCAGGCUACUGUUGUAGUCAUAGUUGUCAUGUCAUCCAUGUAUGCUCGAAUUGGCAGUAGUCGCAUUCCAGAAGCCAAGCGCUCUCCUCCCACUACCCAUUUUGAUGCCCUAAUGAUUACUUCUAUUGCCAUGGUAAAAGCCAGUGGAGACAUGGUGCAUCCUGCCAUUAUUCCAACUUCUAGGCAUUGCCAUGUAGUGCUGAAUUCUGAAGUUGAUAAACUAAAUUGCAAAUCUCAAGUAGGCUUUCACUAAAUUUGUUAUUGUCUUUGGUACGCUGAAAAAAUCAAAUGCUGCCCAAAGAAGUUCAUGUGGCACUGAGUCAUAUGCAUUAGCCAAAUCCUGGAAUGUCACAUGGAGCUCCUUCCUCUCCUUUUUAGCUGAUUGAAUUUGUUGCCAGAUCACAUUGAUGUAUUCUAAGCAUCCUGUGAAACCAUGGAAUGCCCGCUUUUGUAUUGAAGUGCCAAUGAAGCAGUUCUUUAAUAGGUAAGUUGACAAUUUCUGAGCAAUAAUGCUGAAGAAAAUCUUGCCUUCUGCAUUUAAUAGGGAAAUAGGGUGAAACUGGUGGUGAUGAAGCCCUUGCUUUUUUCACAGCUUGCUCUACUUCUUUCCACUUAGGUGCACAGUCCUCCAUUUGGUAUUCUGGUGGAAUGAUAGGUGGGAUGGCUGAAGGAAUUGACAUAGGCUCCUGCCUUUUUGAAUCUGUAUGUGUUUCCUCCAAAUAUCUCUCCAGCUCAACCUUAGAUGCUUUUAGUGUGCCAUUCUUCUCACUGGUGAAUAACUUUACAAAUUUGAAUGGGUCUUUUAUAAAAGUUAGUUCUCGUACGCUCCUUUUAGUAGCGUUUCCGUAGGCGCUCAGCUCUGCGCAAUGUUGCAAACUUAUCUUUUAUGACCCUUUUAAAGAUUGAGUCCCUCCUUCUGACUUUGUUCUGCUUUUUUCCAUUGCUUCCUCAGCUGUUUCCUUUUUCUAAGCGUUCAAUCUCCUGCUGCCGUCUAGACUUUCCAGGAAUAGUUUGUACUUUUUUCCUUCCUUUUUUCAACUCCAAACCUCUCGCUUCCAUAUGCGUAGAUGUCCCCAAAUUUAUCCAGCUCUUUUUCAACUGUUCCACUUAACCUUUCCAAUGCAAAGCAGAGAUCUGUGUUUACUGUGUCUGUAGCAGGGUGAUUGCCCUGCACGUGUGUUUAGUGUUGGUAUAAUUUUUAUGGGGAAAUGGGUUUAUUGUGUGUUUUGGAGUUGAUUUGUUUUAUUACAUUUAUUGUUUACAGACGGGCGCUCGAUUUAGACUUGCUGCCUGCUAGGCUUGGUUGAGGGGAAGGGCAGCAAGUGAUUGGCUGUGCUGGACCUCAAUCGGCAGGUGGGCGGGUCUUGACAGAGUGCCCAUCAGUUCAAAAACAUCCGCGGGAUAUGGUUCGAGGCGACUGUAACGCCUUGCCAGAGGGGCGCGGCGUAUACUCGGGAGGAGAGGGUCCGCUCUGCAGGAACGACAGCUACGCAACCUUGAGACUGCAAGCGGUGCUUGUGAAGGCAAUUCCCAGCCAAGGCCGUAUGAAGCAGCAGGAGUCAUUGUAUGAAUACCGGCUCAUGAGUAGGUUAGUUAGGGGAUUGUGAUCAGGGUUUCCCCUGGGUUUCACUAGUGACUAAUACUUUCUAAAAACAUUAGUCACUCCAGAUAUUCAGUAGUCACUACUGGCGCACAGCUCAAGUCUUCAAGGGUGUUAUGAAUCCUGUUUUUAUUUUAUACCUUAAAUCACUGUAUUGACCAAAACAAUUAUUUAAUUAAACCAUUUUAAUAAUGCUCUACAGUUUAAAUACAUUGGUAAUUUACAGUUGUAAAGUUUUAGAAUAUUAAAACUCAAGAACCAGAUUUAUUUGCCCUGAAAAGCUACAUACAGACACAGAAUGCAUUAUGAAUUACUUAUAACAUAUAUGUCUUUUUACAAUAAAGAAAAAAGUGCUAGAAUAUUGUAUACAACCCAUGGAAACAGAGUACUGCAAUAAGGCUGAAACUUUGCUGCUUGUUUUCUUUUUCUUUUUUCUGACGCUUGUGAGCUUUGUUUGUACUUUUUUUUUUUUCUGGUGUUCCAAAUUCAAGUCUUCAUUUUCUACAACUUGUUGUUCUGUUUGUUCUAUUUCACUCUUGCUGUGGCCGCGCUGAAAAAACGAGUGGAUUUUCUUCUGCGACAUUUUACAGUAUUGGCCAACAGUUUUGUUUAAUUCGCGCGCACAAGUUUACUGCGAUCAUGUAUUUAUAUUGAUGAUAGUUAUAGAAAAGAAGGCAAAGAAAAGUUCACUAUCCACGCAUCUCUACAGCUCACCUCAAUAUGAAAACAUAUUACUGCACUGUAAACCCGAAUAGUUAAACUCAUUGAAUAAAUUAAGUAUUGGAAACACAAAAGGUAUAAAAUAGUAGUACUGACACAAACGUUUUGGGUUCCCUUAACUUGCAACUCAGUUUUGAUUUUGUAGCAAUUAUGUUUUUGAUUCAGAUUAACUAUGUGGGAUUUUAUGUAAAGAGAACUUCUGAUAUUAGAUUUGCUGACACACAAAUCUUUUCAGUUUGAGUUUAUUAACGUGUGACGUCACAAACGUCAUCGACGUUGGCACGGUCGAGAAAAAUCAUCUAAAACAUGGCGGCUCUUCCUGGAGUUCGACUAAUAUUGUAGGUUAACUAAACGUUUAAUCUCUUCUGUCUGCGGCGGUGGAGAAAUUGUAUACGGUAAACUUUCGAAUCACUAUCAAGUCUGUAUCGUUUGUUAUAAUUUUACAAAUUUAACAGUUCAUUUCUGCUCAGCUGUCAGCCCGCUAAAUCAGCUUACUAGCCGGAAAGCUAGUUAGCUAUCACAGUUGAGUUGAGAAUGAAUUGAAUAAGUACCAGGAUAGUUGUGUUGUGAUGCAGAUGCUAAAAAUCUAAAAUAUUUCAGUUUUUAUUUUAAACUAAUCUGUUUGAAAUUUACGAAAGGCAAUUUUCAAAUGCAGGCUAGCCAAUUGGGUGUAUUUUUUGCAUGACGUUGGACAAACGCAUCGGUGCGAUUGGCUGGUUUGCCUGUGUCUCACUGCAAUCCUGGACACUUGUUUUCCACACUUGACGAGCAGUGUACCCCCGGAUAAGGUCUCGGUGAGUACGAAUGUUGAUUGCAUUAGCUUCUCAACCGACUAAUGAUUCAAUGAUGUAAGCACUGUUUACAUAUAUUUGCUAUGUUUUAGAUGCCUUCAGCUUUGUCAAGAGCAGUAUCUAUCACGAUCUGAAUUCUGUGCAUACCUAUGCUAACACGUUAAAUGUCUAGCUAUCUAACGCAACUAACUGGCAGCUUUCUAACAUGUCUUCAGCUUUGGACUAUGUAACGUUUACCAGGCCCACCGAGAGGGAAAUUUUCCCCGGGGCCCAACGCCGGAUUCCAGCCUUGCUGAAGCACCCCCAGAUCAUCACCGAUCCUCCACCACAUUUCACAGUGGGUGCGAGACACUGUGGCUUGUAGGCCUCUCCAGGUCUCCGUCUAACCAUUAGACGACCAGGUGUUGGGCAAAGCUGAAAAUUGGACUCAUCUGGGGGUGCUUCAGCAAGGCUGGAAUCGGGCAGAUUUGUCUUUGUGAAGGAUGCAUGAAUCAAGCCAAGUACAAGGUUGUCCUGGAAGAAAACUUGCUUCCUUCUGCUCUGACAAUGUUCCCCAACUCUGAGGAUUGGUUUUUCCAGCAGGACAAUGCUCCAUGCCACACAGCCAGGUCAAUCAAGGUGUGGAUGGAGGACACCAGAUCAAGACCCUGUCAUGGCCAGCCCAAUCUCCAGACCUGAACCCCAUUGAAAACCUCUGGAAUGUGAUCAAGAGGAAGAGGGAUGGUCACAAGCCAUCAAACAAAGUCGAGCUGCUUGAAUUUUUGCGCCAGGAGUGGCAAAGUCACCCAACAUCAAUGUGAAAGACUGGUGGAGAGCAUGCCAAGACGCAUGAAAGCUGUGCUUGAAAAUCAGGGUUAUUCCACCAAAUAUUGAUUUCUGAACUCUUCCUAAGUUAAAACAUUAGUAUUGUGGUGUUUAAAAAUGAAUAUGAACUUAUUUUCUUUGCAUUGUUCGAGGUCUGACAACACUGCAUCUUUUAUUAAUGUAGUUUAUGCUAAAAACGUAUGUUAUUUGAUGUUAAGUAAGCUUCAGAUUAAUGACUAUUAUACACGCGGUAGCGAGACAUACCAGUCCUUCCCCGGGGCCCAUGACGGCUCUCGGCGGCCCUGUCGUUUACUUAUCAACCUGGGUAGCUAGCAAAAUAAUUCAAGCUUCCAUUCAUUUCAAAUAGGUUGCAUGUAGCUAUGGAAGCCAUUCCUGCUAGCCUGUUAACUUUAGUAGCUAGCUAGCCUGGAAAAAGCCAGAAGAAACUUGUAAUGUCGGAUGGCCAUGCACGUUUUUGAUGAAAUCGCAUGGUGGCACCAGGUGCACAAAAUGGUGGGUUAUAGUAGACCUGGUGGCUAUGACAAGAUAGGUCUAACGUUAGCAGCCUUUAACAUGGUGUAGCUGAGUAUUUUGCUCCAUGAUAAUUAUCAAGUAAAGGUAUUUUGUUUUUUGUUUUGAAACUGUUGGGGAGGGACAGAGGUAAGGCGGUGACAUUGAUAUUUUGCCAUGUUUCUUUGACAUUUUUUAAUCUCAAUUACUCUGAGUGUCAAUGUUACAAUCUAUUGCAGGUCAAUUUAGCCAUUGAGCUCUGAUUAAAUUGGCUUUGAAUAAAAAUGCAUAGUUGACCAAGUACUUUAGGUUUCAAAUUAUUUGUCAUGUUUCAAAAUGAGGAAUUAAGACAUCAAUUCAUUUUUGCUAAUGAGAUCUCUAUUUCUCUCUACAGGCUUGACCUGAAGGAUGCUGGUUCUCAUCUAGCUAGCCUAGGCCCUAUACUAUAUCCCAGAAGUGAAAGUCACUUUGAGUCAUGGUAUGUUGAACAUCUGCAUUCCUACGAGCUGUCACUUACACAAGGGAGCCUGUCUGUCCACCUGCUAUCUGAACUCAACGACACUGUCACGUUUGCUGCUUGCACCGUUGAUGGCCGGCUGCUGUUGACCCCCAAGAGAUACAUUUUACUGAGCGAGUGCUGAGUUAAUCUUGAAAAAUAUGGCAGCCGUAUCCUCUCAAGCCUUGAAACUUCGUGUCAUUGUUGAAGCUGACAGUAUAAGGAAGAUUAAACUUGACACCCUCCCCGAGUCUGUUGAUGACCUGAAAAGCAUUUUGAAGGACAAGCUCAAGUUGGAUGCAGACUUUAGCUUGCAGUACAAAGACCCUGAUUUUGAUGGUACACUUAUCUCCCUAGUGGACAUUGACGAGUUGCCACAGAAAGCUACACUGAAACUUUUCAUGGCAGAGGUGGAAACAGUUCUACAGACACAGAGUUGCUGUCAGAUGUGUCCUCUCCAGAGCGACUUAGUAGAUGGCUGCCAGGUAUUUUUCCCCAUGCCCACGUUUGCUUAUGAGGUAGAAUUGAAGCUCAGAGAAGGUAACACUGUCUUUGAAAGAAACAGAAAGUGUCUUCAGUUAUCUAGAGAUCAAAAGCAUGACAUCCUAGAGAAACUUGCAGCUACUAUUUAGUUUCAAAGCAGCUGAAGCACUUGUUUCCAAACACCCCUGCCUGAAAGAGCUUGGAUCUGAGACUGGCUGGUAUGGACGGAAGAACAGCAUAAAAUACAAAUUGGGUAACUACAGAACCAAGUUGAGGAGACCAGGAUGUCAAGAGGUCAGUAUAAACGCAGGAAAAAGAAGCAGAAGUAAUCCAGAGAUUGAACCAUCGCACUCAGAGACCCAAGCGUGCUGAAGUGAACUUUUUGCCUGACUUCCCCAAAGGACAGGACAUGGCAAGUCUUGAAAGACAGAGGCUGGAGAUAAUCCAAGAAGUUCAGAAGACUGAGAAAACCCUACCCCUCAUCGAUAGGAUGAUGCAGACGACAUUUGUCCUGCGGCGGCAGGAGGUAGUCACCAACAGACCACCUGUGAGAUAUCCUUGAGCGAUAGCCGGCUCUACAUUUGGAGUCGCAGGUGUAUGCAGAGUUCCAACGGAUCACAAACCAGAACUUGCCGAACAUCUUUUAUGAAGAGCUUGACCGCCACACUCUUCGCUUGAUGACCUUAUACCGACAGAGGGCAUCAGAGACAGGAAAGACAUCUGAUGCUUUGGCUGACAUUCUGAGGAUUCAUGAUCUACAGGUGGAGGAUUCUGAUGAGCCAGAUGUUGGUGAUGCACCAGUCGCCAUCCUUGCAGUGGUCAGUGAUGACGCUGAAAAGCCGGUCCACUUCAACCCAAUCAAGAUUUCCAUUGUCCUGGAGAGUGAAGUCAUGGUGACCAACCUACCCAGACUGGCUGACGCUUUCCUGGUAAUGUUCGGUCUGAUCUAUGCUCUACAUCUGAGUUAUCCAAAAGAACUGGCCAACACUUUUGAGUUCGUUCAGAAAAUCCUGCUGGGUCUAGAAGAUGGGACACUUAAGCGAAGACUGCAGGCUUUGAAGAAUGACUUGCUGAUACACGUGUAGUGAUUGACCAAAGACACGAUCCGCCUGGGUUCUGGUGGAUGCAUUAUUUUUAUACUGUGGAAGACAUUUUGAGUUUGCAGCCAGUGUAUGAGUUUCAUUUCUCUUAUUUUCUUGUGAUCUUAGUUAGGAUACUGAAAGAGCUGUUAUGGUAGCUGGAAUACAGAACAAAUCGAGUUUUUGUUUUCUAACAGGGAAAGGCCACAGAAGGGUUUUACUUUAGUCAUAUGGCCUAAGGCAGGUGAGUGGAAGGUGAAGGUGACGUAACAGAAUUGUUGUAAUACAGUUGUGGGCAGCACCUAUGAGCCCAGCUUUAGUUUGUUGAUAAUCAUUUGAUGCAGUUAAUUCUACUUAAUAUUAAUUUUUAGGUUGCUCACAUACUCUGCCAACAUGCUUCUGGUGAGCUUUCUCUAGAGAAUUUCUAUUGUUGAAAAGCACUAAGCUCACGGUAAAUGUUUUUUUAUUUUUUCUCAGACUAUCAACAUCUGGAAGCAGAGGCUACCUCAAAAUGGUCAGUCAUUUUCUGAAUCCCAAAUAGACCCCUAGCUCCUAUGUAGAUCUGAGUAACAACCCCACCCUGACUUCUGACAGGCUGGACGGAUUUUUUUUUAUUUUACCAUGUUUACACUUCUCCUAGCAUCUCUAUGGGAGUAUCUAUAGAGUAGGGGCUUGGCGAUGAUUUGGGAUUCAGAGACAGGAUCAUUUAACCUCUUUUCACACUACAAAGCAAAGUUGCACUGUGUAAAGUAACAGACCUCUCAAAUACUUUAUGUGGUUAUGACACCAUUAUUGCACCUUUUGUUAAACACAAUUUUCAAAUUGUUAUCGUUACGAUAAAACAUUCUUGUUUUAAUUA